rnacentral:rRNA from 1 species
GUCUUCGGCCAUGCCACGCUGAACAUGCUCAAUCUCGUCUGAUCUCAGAAGCUAAGCAGGGUCAGGCCUGGUUAGUGCUUGGAUGGGAGACCACCUAGGAAGACCAGAUACUGUAGGUA